AUACGGAGGGUGCAAGCGUUAAUCGGAAUUACUGGGCGUAAAGCGCACGCAGGCGGUUUGUUAAGUCAGAUGUGAAAUCCCCGGGCUCAACCUGGGAACUGCAUCUGAUACUGGCAAGCUUGAGUCUCGUAGAGGGGGGUAGAAUUCCAGGUGUAGCGGUGAAAUGCGUAGAGAUCGGGAGGAAUACCGGUGGCGAAGGCGGCCCCCUGGACGAAGACUGACGCUCAGGUGCGAAAGCGUGGGGAGCAAACAGGAUUAGAUACCCUGGUAGUCCACGCCGUAAACGAUGUCGACUUGGAGGUUGUGCCCUUGAGGCGUGGCUUCCGGAGCUAACGCGUUAAGUCGACCGCCUGGGGAGUACGGCCGCAAGGUUAAAACUCAAAUGAAUUGACGGGG
rnacentral:rRNA from 1 species